UACGGAGGGUGCAAGCGUUGUCCGGACUUACUGGGCGUAAAGGGUGCGCAGGCGGUUAUAUAAGUCAGCUGUGAAAUCCCCGGGCUCAACCUGGGAACUGCGUUGGUGACUGUAUGACUAGAGUACGGUAGAGAGGGGUGGAAUUCCUGGUGUAGCAGUGAAAUGCGUAGAUAUCAGGAGGAACAUCGAUGGCGAAGGCAGCCUCUUGGACCGGUACUGACGCUCAUGCACGAAAGCGAGGGGAGCAAAUAGG
rnacentral:rRNA from 1 species